UGUUGGUAUAUAAUUAAUAGAUUCAUUAAAAUAACUGUAGAGGAUGUAAUUUUCAAUUUAAUAAUAACAAAAAAGUAGCAAGGAAAGAAAACCAUUAUUGGAAGCAGAUUGUUUCCUUUUUAAUGCUCAGUUUCUUUUGCUUGGCAGAUGUUGCUUUGCCCGGAUCCAAAAAGAAGGGUCUCUGUCGAAGGUGCACUGAAGCAUGCUUACUUUAAUGACCCCCCUGAGCAUCACAGAAGGUUGGAAAAUCGAAGGUGAAGUCCUGGGCAGGGGCAGCAGAACAAGUUUUGUAGUCCUUCUGUUUCAAGACUAUUAUAUCUACUUUUGGCCCAUACUUUUGUAGAGCAUAACGGUUUCUGUUAAAAUGGAUGGAAAAUAAGUGAUCCAGAAGAGUAAGAAACAAUGGGAUGCUUUGGAACACAUUUGAGAGUGAUACCCAGAAUUUAGUACGUUGAGGAAUCAACCCGAUUUCUCUUGCCAUCAACUUGUGUCU